AGAGUUUGAUCAUGGCUCAGGAUGGACGCUGGCGGCGUGCCUAACACAUGCAAGUCGAGCGAUCUUCUUAGGAAGAGAGCGGCGGACGGGUGAGUAACGCGUGGGUAACCUGCCUCAUACACAUGGAUAACAUACCGAAAGGUAUGCUAAUACAAGAUGAUAUAAGAAAUUCGCAUGGAUUUCUUAUCAAAGCUCCGGCGGUAUGAGAUGGACCCGCGUCUGAUUAGCUAGUUGGUAAGGUAACGGCUUACCAAGGCGACGAUCAGUAGCCGACCUGAGAGGGUGAUCGGCCACAUUGGAACUGAGACACGGUCCAAACUCCUACGGGAGGCAGCAGUGGGGAAUAUUGCACAAUGGGCGAAAGCCUGAUGCAGCAACGCCGCGUGAGCGAUGAAGGCCUUCGGGUCGUAAAGCUCUGUCCUCAAGGAAGAUAAUGACGGUACUUGAGGAGGAAGCCCCGGCUAACUACGUGCCAGCAGCCGCGGUAAUACGUAGGGGGCUAGCGUUAUCCGGAUUUACUGGGCGUAAAGGGUGCGUAGGUGGUUUCUUAAGUCAGGAGUGAAAGGCUACGGCUCAACCGUAGUAAGCUCUUGAAACUGGGAAACUUGAGUGCAGGAGAGGAAAGUGGAAUUCCUAGUGUAGCGGUGAAAUGCGUAGAUAUUAGGAGGAACACCAGUAGCGAAGGCGGCUUUCUGGACUGUAACUGACACUGAGGCACGAAAGCGUGGGGAGCAAACAGGAUUAGAUACCCUGGUAGUCCACGCCGUAAACGAUGAGUACUAGGUGUCGGGGGUUACCCCCCUCGGUGCCGCAGCUAACGCAUUAAGUACUCCGCCUGGGGAGUACGCUCGCAAGAGUGAAACUCAAAGGAAUUGACGG
rnacentral:rRNA from 1 species